rnacentral:lncRNA from 1 species
GUUAAGUGGGUAGGCGAUGUCUCUCUUAGUGUAAAAUAUCAUAGACUUUUUUAUUUAGCCAUUGAUAAAGAUAAAUCAAUGGCGAAAAUGUGCAGAGGGGGUGGAGGUGGCGGCGACGCUUUUUUGUUUGGGAGGAGGAAUAUUAUUUGUAGAUGUUGCAAUGUUUUGAAUCACUUUUUCUUGCAGGUUGAUGUGACAGAUCAUUGGAAGUGGGUUCCUGAUCCUGGUUCAAGGUAUAUUUUUCGUGGAGCUUAUCGGUUGUUAACCCAUAUAGCUCCAGCAGAGGUGGAUGUUCAUAAAGAGAUUAUUUGUA